UGUGCCCUACGGGACGCAGCAGUGUGGAAUAUUGGUCAAUGGGCGGUAGCCUGAACCAGCCAAGUAGCGUGAAGGAUGAAGGUUCUAUGGAUUGUAAACUUCUUUUAUAGAGGAAUAAAGUGAGGCACGUGUGCCUUUUUGUAUGUACUUUAUGAAUAAGGAUCGGCUAACUCCGUGCCAGCAGCCGCGGUAAUACGGAGGAUCCGAGCGUUAUCCGGAUUUAUUGGGUUUAAAGGGAGCGUAGAUGGGUUGUUAAGUCAGUUGUGAAGGUUUGCGGCUCAACCGUAAAAUUGCAAUUGAUACUG
rnacentral:rRNA from 1 species